rnacentral:rRNA from 1 species
GAUGAACGCUGGCGGCGUGCCUAAUACAUGCCAGUCGAGCGAACGGACGAGAAGCUUGCUUCUCUGAUGUUAGCGGCGGACGGGUGAGUAACACGUGGAUAACCUACCUAUAAGACUGGGAUAACUUCGGGAAACCGGAGCUAAUACCGGAUAAUAUUUUGAACCGCACGGUUCAAAAGUGAAAGACGGUCUUGCUGUCACUUAUAGAUGGAUCCGCGCUGCAUUAGCUAGUUGGUAAGGUAACGGCUUACCAAGGCAACGAUGCAUAGCCGACCUGAGAGGGUGAUCGGCCACACUGGAACUGAGACACGGUCCAGACUCCUACGGGAGGCAGCAGUAGGGAAUCUUCCGCAAUGGGCGAAAGCCUGACGGAGCAACGCCGCGUGAGUGAUGAAGGUCUUCGGAUCGUAAAACUCUGUUAUUAGGGAAGAACAUAUGUGUAAGUAACUGUGCACAUCUUGACGGUACCUAAUCAGAAAGCCACGGCUAACUACGUG